CCCUUAGAUGUUCUGGGCCGCACACGCGCUACACUGAAGGAGGCAGCGUGUACUCCUGGAUCGAAAGAUUUGGGUAACCCGCGAAUCUCCUUCGUGCUAGGGAUUGAGGUUUGCAAUUAUCCUUCAUGAACGAGGAUUCCCAGUAAGUGCAAGUCAUAAGCUUGCGCUGACUACGUCCCUGCCCUUUGUACACACCGCCCGUCGCUACUACCGAUUGAAUGAUUUAGUGAGGACUUCGGACUGGGACCGAUGCGGCUUUCGGGCUGCGUCGGUAUUCUGGAAAGAUGUCCAAACUGUAUCAUUUAGAGGAAGUAAAAGUCGUAACA
rnacentral:rRNA from 1 species